rnacentral:rRNA from 1 species
CUCCAGACUCCUACGGGAGGCAGCAGUGGGGAAUAUUGCACAAUGGGGGGAACCCUGAUGCAGCGACGCCGCGUGGGCGAGGAAGUAUUUCGGUAUGUAAAGCCCUAUCGGCAGGGAAGAAGAAAUGACGGUACCUGAAUAAGAAGCACCGGCUAAAUACGUGCCAGCAGCCGCGGUAAUACGUAGGGAGCAAGCGUUGUCCGGAAUUACUGGGUGUAAAGGGAGCGUAGGCGGGGAUGCAAGUUGGGGGUCAAAACUAUCGGCUCAACCGAUAGUCGCACUCAAAACUGCAACUCUUGAGUGAAGUAGAGGCAGGCGGAAUUCCUAGUGUAGCGGUGAAAUGCGUAGAUAUUAGGAGGAACACCAGUGGCGAAGGCGGCCUGCUGGGCUUUUACUGACGCUGAGGCUCGAAAGUGUGGGGAGCAAACAGGAUUAGAUACCCCAGUAUC